UACAGAGGGUGCGAGCGUUAAUCGGAAUUACUGGGCGUAAAGCGCACGUAGGCGGCUUGGUAUGUCGGGUGUGAAAUCCCCGGGCUCAACCUGGGAACUGCAUCCGAAACUGCCUUGCUCGAGUAUGGGAGAGGGAAGUGGAAUUUCCGGUGUAGCGGUGAAAUGCGUAGAUAUCACUUGGAACGCCGACGGUGAAAACAGCUCGCUGGGGGUCAUCUGACGCUGAGACGCGAAAGCCAGGGGAGCGAACGGG
rnacentral:rRNA from 1 species